UGGAAUAUCACACACCCCUGCGUUCAGUACCGCAGUGCGAACCACAAAGGGGACGUUCUUCAGAACUCUAAUUCAGCCACAGAUCUGCUGUCUCUCUUUAUAUAAACACUGCUGUGUUGCCAGGGGAGUCUUAUUCUUCCAUAAUUGCUUCUUCACAAGGGCUUUUUUUGACAUUCAGUUUUUAUUUAAAUAGUUUAUUUUUAUUUUUUUUUUUUGCAACACAUGAAAUACAUUUGCAGAUCGUUCAUUGUGCCAAAAAUACAGUUUAUGGGAUGAUCCGUUUAUUUUUGGGGGUGUCUGUUAUUUAUGGUUUCCAAGGCCAAUUUUUUUUACUUUUUAAAGUUAUUUUUUAUUUUGUUUUUAAUCCCUUGUGGAGGCUCCUGGGGGUGCAGGUUUUUUUGUUUUUGUUUUAGCCCAGCACUGCGCCACCUGAUUCGGCUAAUUAACUAAUCAUGGUCUUCAAUCAGGACCUCGCUGAGUGGAAUCAGGUGUGUUCGUGCUGGGCUAAGUCACAAGCCUGCUCCCACACCGGCCCUUACAGCACUGGCCCCACACAGCUCUGCCUCGGGACCAGGCUGAAGGCCCUGUCUCCUCGCCCUGCACCCUGGAGAGAACGGGCGUCUGAGUUUCACAGCCUGCAGGGAGGGACCGGAGCACGUGGCCCAGGUGCUGCAGUUACCUGUGUGCAGCUACUUCAUGGCCAAGAGCUACAACUGAACAUCGCAAGCAAGCAAAGGAAAAGAAGCCUUACGUCUGCAAUGCAGCUGACCAACCACUAGGGGCAGUGUGUGCGCAUGGUCUUCACCCUGCUUGGAGACGAGGAGAUGGCAGCAUCCACAGGUCCAUCGCACCUAGAGGUCACGGGCCAAGUACCCCAACAAAUGCCCCAAGCCGCCGCCGCCACCGCCGCCGCCACCGCGUCGUCCUCCAUUACUGCCCUCUCCAUCUGCAUAUUCUGUCCUUCCUGUCUCCGCUACAAAAAUGGAUCGACCGGUCCUGUUGGGACUUGAGUGGCAGCUCUCAAAAGAUCGAUGCUCGGAACAAUUCCCUCACGCGUGCAACACGAUGCGAGUUGGUGUUUGAAGGCAGAAAACAAGAUUUUGUGCUUGGACACUGGAUUCGGAUAAAAAGCCUGAGCCUCCCAGACAAGUGGAGCUGCCCAGGCCCUUGGCAGGUGCAUAAUUUCGCGGACGGGUGUAUGUUUGGAUUUUGGUUGAGGCUUUUGGGUUCGCGCAGGCUGGGCGCGUGGCCACUGUGCAGUUUGGGUUAGGGUUCGAAGCCGAAUAAACAAACAGGCCAACAGGAACGCUGGGGAUGGUCAGAGAGUGGCGGUUGAGAGCACAGCAAGGCUUCGCAGCUUGGAGAGCCAGCGUGUGUG